rnacentral:rRNA from 1 species
UGUCUCCCCCCUCCAGUCAGUGAAACUGAUCUCUCCGUGAAGAAGCGGAGAUACGCAUAUAAGACGAGAAGACCCCAUGGAGCUUUAAACCCAACAACACCCGCCUCCCUUAAACCCUAUUAUCAGCCCGGCGAUUGUUUGCUUGGUUUUAGGUUGGGGUGACCACGGAGUACAAAACAUCCUCCAUGAAAAAAAGCUAACUGCCCUUAUUAGAGAAAGACAUUUCCAAAAAAUAACAAAUUAAUUUUUAAUGACCCGAUAUUCGAUCAACGAACCAAGUUACCCUGGGGAUAACAGCGCAAUCCGCCCCGAGAGCCCCUAUCGACAGGCGGGUUUACGACC